UUGAAUUUGGCCUUUUAAAAUUCUAAAAUCCUCUUUGCUAUUGUUACUUCUGUAACAAGGCAAUAGUUUCUUCAUUAGCAAACGGGAAUUCCCUGGUUGUGUUCCCAACAGGAACCGGUGCUAUGCUUGGAUGCCGCUGAAACCUUUAACGCCGGCACUACUGUACUUGGUACGCUGAGAGCCGCACUUGAAUGAAGCAGCAAAAGCAGAGAACAAGAGCUGCUUUGUUUUGGGUGCCCUCUCACUGGGGCAAAGGAGCCGCUGGGGCCCUGACUCUCACUUGGCAGCACAGAGAGCACCCGGAUCCUGCCUGGAGGUCUGUGGGGACCGACCCCAGGAAGGUCCCUUCAUCUCCUCUGCUACCAGAACAUGCAACAAACUUCAGCAAAGACACCAGGCAUCUACAAAUCUGGAAAUCAAAAUCUGGAAGAAGAAAUUCUGUGGAGGAUGCCUUUUCUGCAGUGGAUGACCUGGCUGUUCACAGUGCCUUACAGGAGUGAGUCAGUAUUAAACAGACUAUAGCAACGGACAGUAAAGUUGUCCUUCUUGGAUAUGAAGGCCGCUUUCACUGUAAGUACCUACUGAUUUUAACAGCUAAGAAAUAAAUGGUUUCAGUUGAGUUCCCUGUGGAGAAAACUUCUGACCUUUCCACAACAGGCCACCUACCUUGCCAGUCUUGCCAAGGAACCCAAGACUGGAACAGAUGCAAAGACUGAAUUGUUUAUUUGCCCCAUGGGUAUAUUUGUCACUGGAGGACUACGAAGCACCUGAUAUGUUUCCCAAGACCUACCUUCAUUCAAAACCAUUGUGUAAGUUGCUGGCAUUGAAAUAAUAAAAGAGAGUCAAGUUUAACAUUUGCUUAAUGCAGUAUUAGUCUACUGAAGUCCAUCUGAGUUAUAGUUCGUCUUCUGUGGCCUCUAUCUGGCUCACUACCUAGCAACGAAGCAGUGACACCUACUACUUGGUUCUUGCUGCUAUGCCAAGAGUGGAGAACAGCGUAUCAGUCAUUCCUGGUUUUGAUGAGGAAUCUUACGCUAUACUAGCUGUAGCCCUAAGGACCCAGUUCAAGGUUCUGCAGAGACUAGCUAUGAGGGGAUAAAUAACUACAAGCAAUUCAAACCAUCUUAUGUAGUUUCAGCAAUCUUGCACUUAUUUUUAGAUGCUGUAUGACUAAAUCUGUGGGAUGUGGCACAUAAGGUGCCAUAGCGUAACUGCAAUAGA